rnacentral:rRNA from 1 species
AGGGCACCACCAGGAGUGGAGCCUGCGGCUUAAUUUGACUCAACACGGGAAAACUCACCCGGCCCGGACACCGUAAGGAUUGACAGAUUGAGAGCUCUUUCUUGAUUCGGUGGUUGGUGGUGCAUGGCCGUUCUUAGUUGGUGGAGCGAUUUGUCUGGUUUAUUCCGAUAACGAACGAGACUCUGGCCUACUAAAUAGAGACAGGAUUAUUACUGUCCUGGAUUCUUCUUAGAGGGACAAGUGGUUUUCAGCCACACGAAAUAGAGCAAUAACAGGUCUGUGAUGCCCUUAGAUGUCCGGGGCUGCACGCGCGCUACACUGAAGGAAUCAGCGUGCUAAAACCAUUGUCGAAAGGCAUUGGUAAACCCAUCAAAAUCCUACGUGAUUGGGAUCGGGAAUUGCAAUUAUUUCCCUUGAACGAGGAAUUCCCAGUAAGUGUGGGUCAUAAGCUCGCGUUGAUUACGUCCCUGCCCUUUGUACACACCGCCCGUCGCUGCCCGGGACUGAGCCGUUUCGAGA